UACGUAGGGUGCAAGCGUUAAUCGGAAUUACUGGGCGUAAAGCGUGCGCAGGCGGCUAUGCAAGACAGAUGUGAAAUCCCCGGGCUCAACCUGGGAACUGCAUUUGUGUCUGCAUGGCUAGAGUACGGUAGAGGGGGAUGGAAUUCCGCGUGUAGCAGUGAAAUGCGUAGAUAUGCGGAGGAACACCGAUGGCGAAGGCAAUCCCCUGGACCUGUACUGACGCUCAUGCACGAAAGCGUGGGGAGCAAACAGG
rnacentral:rRNA from 1 species